GAUGAACGCUAGCGAUAGGCUUAACACAUGCAAGUCGAGGGGUAACGUGUUGGAAGCUUGCUUCCGAUGACGACGACCGGCGGAUGGGUGCGUAACGCGUAUGCAACUUGCCUCACAGUGGAGAAUAACCCGGAGAAAUCCGGACUAAUACUCCAUACACUCUUAAGUACGCCUGUACAUGAGAGGAAAGAUUUAUCGCUGUGAGAUAGGCAUGCGUCCUAUUAGGUAGUUGGUGAGGUAACGGCUCACCAAGCCGACGAUAGGUAGGGGUGCUGAGAGGCAGAUCCCCCACAUUGGGACUGAGACACGGCCCAAAAUCCUACGGGAGGCAGCAGUGAGGAAUAUUGGUCAAUGGAGGAAACUCUGAACCAGCCAAGUCGCGUGAAGGAAGAAUGUCCUAAGGAUUGUAAACUUCUUUAGCGAGCGAGUAAGGACUUCCACGUGAUGGGAGUUUGAAAGUAGCUCGAGAAUAAGUAUCGGCUAACUCCGUG
rnacentral:rRNA from 1 species